CCUCACAACUGGCUUAACUCCAUCACUUUAUGCAUACUCUUUACACUGAUGAGUCUGAAGACAUUUUUAUCCUAAACAUUUCCAACACCAAAUAAAUUGCUGUGUUUUUUUACCCCCAUAUCAACCAAUUAGAUGAGCGGUCACCCAUGAGACUCCCUCCCCUAAACAGCCUUCUCGUACCCUGGUCUCUGUGUGGGAGGGGCCACUCAUCCAUGGGCGACAGCCCACUCACGGAAUGUUGCUGCUAUUAAUCAUUUUUAAGAAGGAACAUGACACAAGUAAUAACCUGUUUGGCAAAGUCCCUUCGUGGUGUGUAAUUAUUUUUUUUCUGGCCGCAGAACGAUGAUUGUAAUGUUGGUUGCCUUGAUGCUUUUCUUGCUGCUCCAGAACUGAUGGCUGCAGUGAAGUAACCUCAGGUGGGUUGCCAGGCCAGGGAAUGUAGUCCAGCGUAGAGUGUCUCCUUAGCAUGCCCGAAACCUGGGUUCAUUCACCACCACCAAAAAAAAAAUCCCCUAAAUACAAACGAACAAACAAAAACCACAUCUUCCUCAAUUUAAGUUUCUGUAUGUGUCCCACAUCUGGAUGAUGGGACUUAAUGGGUUAAAUGGCUUCAAUAUUAAUGAAAGUUCACCAUCUUGAACUCAUGAUGGUCCAUGGGCAUGGUGGCAGCUCUGCAAACACCAGGGAGAGUUGUGGAUUUAAAUUUAGGCGCGAGCAAGAAUAAGAAAUGUGAAUGCUGUCAGAUCCAAGUGGAGUCAGUGGUACCAGAGCCUCGCCAGCUGGCGGUGGGAAGUCCAGACAGGGCCUCCCAGGCAUGCUCCGAUGGAACCCAGGGAAGGGCUCCCAGCACCAAGCCUACACCUAGAGCACCUGGGAGCAGGCCUACCCAGCAGCAGCCUGCUUUAUCCUGGACAGCUGCCUCUCCUGUUACUGGCCCACGAGGCCAAGAAUUAUUGAUUCGCAAUUUACGUGACCUUCCUCCUUUCACCUUCAAAAUCACUUGUCUUGCUUUGCCUCUGGGUAUGCCCAUGGCCACUGGGGCAUAUCAUAGCACAUGUAUUCCAUGAUGGCCAUCUCCUGUCAUUUAUUUCCAAAUAACUUCCUCUCUCUGAAGAGCCUAUCUCUGUUGGUAUUUUAGGUUGUUGUUAAAUAUGGCAACUUCCAAAAUUAAUUCAUUAAGUCCCAAGUUUUUAGUUCUUUAAAUAUUUUGGCAAAAUUGACACAGGUACCAUAAAAUAGGUUGGAAGUAAUUUAUAGCCUAUAUAUAUUUUCUCAUGUAUAUGGAAAUAUAAUUAUUCUUUCAAAUGCACCAGUCAUGUUAAUUUUCUCAAAAGAAUAGAACCCUAACACAAUAUUCAUUCCAAAAGUUACAAAUGGUGCAUUCGUUGCUCAAUUUAAGUUUCUGUAUGUGUCCCACAUCUGGGAUGAUGGGACUUAAUGGGUUAAAUGCCUUCAAUAUUAAUGAAAGUUCACCUCCAAAGGAGAAGGAGAAUUAGACCAUUCAGGUGAAAUGGAGGAAAUCUUAGAAAGAUACUCAAAGUGUCUCAAGAGGAAAUAGGAACUCUGAAUAGCUUAUGACCAGUAAAGAAACUUAAUAGUCACUAAAAAUAUACCCACAGAGAAAACUCGAGGCCCAGAUGGCUGCAUGGUGAGUUUUAUCAAGGACUUAGAGAAGGACUAAUAUUUACCCUUCACACAUUUUUUUCAGAAAAUGGCAGAGGAGCAGACCACUUUGCAACUCCACCAUAAGGCUGGUGUGACCUGGUUCCAAAGCCAGACACGACAAGAAAACCACAGACAAGUAUCCGUCAUGAACAUAGAGGCCAAGAUACUACCAAACCUAAUUCAUAUAAAACAAAUACAUAAAAAGGGUCCUACAUCGUGACCAAGUGGGAUUUGUCCCAGGAAAGCAGGAUUGGUUAAACAUCUCAAAAUCAAUUGAUAAAAAAGAGUCAUUUUCCAACACCAACCGGGUGUUCUUUUCUGAUGCUAACUAUUCAGCCCUAGCACAGACCCCACAAGUUAAAGGCUCGGUCCCAUAAGACUCCCCCUCUUCAGAUACAAGAAGGGCACGUUUGAUAUUUGCUAGUACAACUCACAGAACUCAGCCAAGUGCUAACUUACUGACAUGGCUUUGUGUUCAUAAAGAAUACAACGCAGGAACAGCCAGAUGGAAGCCAAGCAUGGGGGCAAGCUGGUUUGGGGAUUGGAACAUGAGUUUCAAAGGCCUCUGGUACACUGCGCUGUCAAGACACAGAAGUGUUCAACAAUCCGGACGCCCCCUGUAGGUGUGCUUGAUGGAAUCAUUAUCCCCUGGUAACUGAGUCCCAGCGUGCACCCACCCCAGAGGAAAAGCUGAGAAGCUCCAACAUAUGAUACUGUGUAGUUGGUUUCCCAGGCAACCAGCCCCUGUCUAGAAGCAACUUAAGUCACCUCAUUAACAGGUAGAGGUGCUCCUGGGCUUGCGGUGAGGAGUAUGUUCUGAUAAACCUGUUGUAAGUUGAGAAUAUUGUAAGUUGAAAUGUAUUUAUAACUUACCAAGCAUCACCACAACAGAA
rnacentral:lncRNA from 1 species